UACGGAAGGUCCGGGCGUUAUCCGGAUUUAUUGGGUUUAAAGGGUGCGUAGGCGGACUGUUAAGUCAGCGGUAAAAGCCCGGGGCUCAACCCCGGCCCGCCGUUGAAACUGACGGUCUUGAGUGGGCGAGAAGUAUGCGGAAUGCGUGGUGUAGCGGUGAAAUGCAUAGAUAUCACGCAGAACUCCGAUUGCGAAGGCAGCGUACCGGCGCCACACUGACGCUGAGGCACGAAAGCGUGGGUAUCGAACAGG
rnacentral:rRNA from 1 species